UCUCCCUGGACUUUGAAAUGCUUUACCUGAUCGGCCUGGGCCUGGGCGAUGCCAAGGACAUCACAGUCAAGGGCCUGGAAAUCGUUAGACGCUGCAGUCGGGUGUAUCUGGAAGCCUAUACCUCAAUCCUGACUGUAGGGAAGGAAGUCUUGGAAGAGUUCUACGGAAGAAAAUUGAUUCUUGCUGAUAGAGAAGAAGUGGAACAAGAAGCAGAUAAUAUUUUAAAGGAUGCCGAUAUCUGUGAUGUUGCAUUCCUUGUGGUUGGUGAUCCAUUUGGGGCUACCACACACAGCGAUCUUAUUCUGAGAGCAACAAAACUGGGAAUCUCUUACCGAGUUAUUCACAAUGCUUCCAUAAUGAAUGCUGUAGGCUGCUGUGGUUUACAGUUGUAUAAGUUUGGAGAGACGGUAUCUAUUGUUUUUUGGACAGACACUUGGAGACCAGAAAGCUUCUUUGACAAAGUAAAGAAGAACAGACAAAAUGGCAUGCACACGUUAUGCUUACUAGACAUCAAAGUAAAGGAGCAGUCUUUGGAAAAUCUAAUCAAGGGAAGGAAGAUCUAUGAACCUCCUCGGUAUAUGAGUGUAAACCAAGCAGCCCGGCAGCUUCUGGAGAUUGUUCAGAAUCAACGAGUACGAGGAGAAGAGCCAGGGGAAGACUCCAUGAACCUGGUGGAAAGCCAUAGCCGGAAGGCUGAAAAAUCUGAGCAAAGUUUGUUGCUCUGUAUUGCAAGGGAAAACAGUUUUGAGUUUGAAUCCCGUCAAGUUAGAAGGCUUGCUGAUAUCAUACACAGGGAAUGAGGUGAAAGAACAAUUCAGGGUUAAUCCAAAUAUCUGGAAACAAAUACUGUGAGAUGGUGUUCAUCAGGUAAAAUAAUCAGAGCCACAAUGAGGACCUUCACAUGUUAAGACCUUACCAAUCUCCAAGCAUCUCCUCUCUCUGUAAAGGGCCCUGCAGGGCAAGGAGGUGGUGCGAGGUGGCUGCACAGUUUAAAUUCAGUGGCAAAGGUAGGAAAUACGCAUGAGAGCACUGAAUGAAGGAAUGAAUUUAAGCAAUGUAUAUGGAACUAUUGCACCAUAAUCUAUUUUGUCAUGGUAAUUGUUCACUGAUUUUACUGGAGAGUCUGUUUAAGUCAGCUACAACUUCUUGGGUCUUUAAACCACAGCAGAAUGAAGUACUUAAUACAGCAGUCAUCAGAAAAACGCUGGAUUUAAGGUCAGUACCUUACCACUGGCUAUCCCUCAGGCAAGUCAUUUAAAGUCUCCCAAAACAGCUUCCUCAUCUGUAAAAUAAAAUGCAGUUAAGAAUUCCUUCCCCAGAGCUGGGGUUGGGGUGGGAUUUGAAAAUGCUCUAUCAAUCAUAAAAGCAUGCAAAAUUCUUUAUUGAAAUAUGAGGAUUUCAAAUGUGAUAACCUGGAAAAGACCACACAAAGAACCUGACAGAGAAAUACUAAUAUACGUUGACCCCCAAUCUUUCUGUUUUAAUCUGUAGUUAGGAAAUGGUUAAACAUAAACCAAAAGAUGGUCUCAUCAAAAAGACUCCCAUCUAUUUAGCUUUUAACUAUACUUCUCCGCAGAUGUUUUUCUUUUGAUACGUAAUUUUUCAUUGUAUUUGUGGGUCUAGAUUCUAUGGUAGAGAUCUAGAUGACUAAGGCUUCUGGUGGAUCAUGUCUUGAAACCAUCUUCUUCCAUUAAUAAAACUUUUGGUGAGCUUCAAAGAAUAACAUUUAUUUAUUUUUGCCAACGUUCUUGUGAACUGUAAAAUAAUUUGUUUUGAAGAUGGUAACAGAAAGAAAAAAGUUUAACUUUAUCAAGGUAAUGCUUUUAUGUUGAAAGUAAGCAACUGAAUAUUUGGGGUUCAGGUAAGACUUCAAAAAUUCACCCUAUUGAUUUAAAAAACUUGUUUGGUUCUGUAUUUCAUUUAAUGCCCAAUUUUGUGUGGCUCUGAGAACAAAUAUUAAAAACUCAAAAGCUCCCUAAGUAAUAAAACUGCCAAGUGUCAAGACUGAAAUGGUAUAUAUAACCCGUGAGAAUUAGCCUAGUUUCUGAAAAGUACCAGCUCAGAGAAUAUAAACAAAAUAAAGAAACUAAGCAAUCCUUAAACUGGGUUUAGCCUCGAGCAAUUAACAGAAAAUUUCACUCACAAGUUAAAAGUAUCCAAGAGCACAGAUGUCAUUGUAUUUUAAAAAUCAGGAACUGGUUUCAUAAAAGUAAAAAAGUAAAAGAGAGUACAAAAAUUAUAUUUUCCACAAAGAAUAUUCUAAACCUCAUAAUGAAAGUAUGGAAAUAAUAUUCUAAAUCUCAUAAUUACUUAUGAAAAACAAGACAAUAAAACUCCAUUUAUAAAGUGCCUUAAUGUACCAAAAAUGGAGGUCAGCUUCCCUUUAUUUACAAAUGAUUUUUCAUCACAUUUACAGAAAGGCAAAUAUUACACUGGAGAGGCAGCACAACAGAGUAGAAAGAACUUGACUUGGAGUCAGAAGACCUGGGUUCCAGUCUUGGCUUUGCCACUAAUUCUCUCUGUGACCUUGAGUAAAUGACAGCAUUUCUGGGCUUCAAUUUUCUCAUCUCUAAAAUGAGAGGUAGAAUGAGACUGCUUUUAAGGACAGUCCCUUAGAUGUAAAAUUCUGUUACGCAAUGUAAUCUUUUUGUUCUUAAAUCCCAGCAUUGUAGGAGCAUGCCACAAUGUUAAUAAUCUAUACAAAAUUGAUUAUCCCAUAGUAGGUAAAAACAUCAUAGAACUCUCAUCAACUACAUUUGGAGUCACUGACUGGGCUACUUUACAAAGGUGCACAAGUCACAGUAUUUUGGUUCCUGGCGAAUACAUGUAGGCUUUGAAGAAUGCCGAAGCAUCUGGAUACCAGUGCCACUACCUACUACUUCUUUAUGCCUCUGCACAAGACAGCUUGGCGACAAUGAGAAGAAUAUGGAGCUACAGAUUACACACUGCCCCUCACAAAAGUGCACAGGGAGUCAGCAAAAUAAAACACACACAGUAAGCCCUUUGAGUAAUAUAAUCUAGAUUUCAAAACGCAAAACUAAUAUAGGUAAUUUCAGUUGGGGAAGUUUACCUUGCUAAGUAAACUGCCCCAGAGCAAAACAAAUUUGUUCUCCAGAGAAUAUUUUGGUUUUUAAAAAAUUGGCAAAGUUCUACUCAGAGAUUCAUCCCCCUCCCUUGAGCCCCAAGAAUUACUUAGCUCAAUAAUAAAGACGUCUCAAAUCUUUAACAACAAUCAGGUAAUGUUUCUGAGUGGAAUUAUCUAUUUUAGCAGUACACCUGUGCCAAAAACACAGAUGAGACAGAGUAUUUGUUAUAACAGUAUUUGUGAGAACAAAGUUGCUUUUUUUCACACUAAUUUGUCCUUACUGCACACACAGGUUUAAGGACAUUUAAUUAAAGCAUAAAUGUAAAUGCCAACCUGCUAAAUCAUACAAGCUGGCAACCUCUUGUAACAGGUGCAAAAUUAGAGUUCCAUAUCAGUCUAAUAAUAUGUAUGCUCAGUGCCUCAUCAAAGAAAAGACAUACGCAUGCACUUGUGUAUUGAGAAUAUAGUUAAAAUGAUGCAAAACUUCACUUGGAGUGGAGGGCCUGGUGAAAGGCAGAACUGCAUCUGCAAAUGCACUGGUCAGUUUUACAGGCCAGUGCAAAUAUUAUCUCCACAUGUGAACAAUCAGUACAAUUACAUAUAAUAUUAGUUUUUAAAGGCACACAACCAAAAUUCCUGCCUUCAUCUAGACUCACAUUUUCCACAAUAUGCCAAAACCCACAGAACACCCCAGGCUUCUAUCAGGCUUGGUAGUGGAUGAAAACUUCCAAAUGACUACUUAGACUUAUAAUGAAAAACCAGUACAUUAUCAGGACGUUUCCUUUUAUACUUUCCCUCCUUAAACAUCUCAACAGUUGUUUUCGUCAAACAUAUUCUGUUGCAGGAAUUCUUAGCUUCAGAACUGCCUGGCAGUAAGUAGAAAUGCUUUGAAAAUACUGCUUAAUCUGCAAAACAGAGACUGUCAACAACUCAUAGCAAUCUGCAGCAGUUUAGAAAAGCAUAAAGUAGUCCAGUUUUCCUACUAUAGUUCAUAAACUGUAGAUCAGAAAUAGGGAGAAAGAUACUCUCUAACUUAGACAAAAUAACAGCGAUUUCUGCCCCAUCAGUGAAAAAGUGCUUAUUAUUGGUUGACAUUCUAAACAAGUAUUUCCAUCCUGCAGGGUUUUUUCCCCCAAGAAUUCAGUUUUUUAAAGUUAAAAGGGAAGAUACCUUAUGAUAAAACAAAGAACAAUGGGUAAAUGUCUAUCCAGAUCAACAUUUCUUCAUAAACCACAGAGAAUCUUUGAGUGUUCAAGCACUUGUCAUCUCAAAUCACGAUUUUAUUUUUCAAAUACACCAGAACCCAGAAAUCAACUUAUUUAUUACUUCUAAGACACCUGUUUUAUCACAACUGAUCUGUAUCUUCAAUAGUUCAAACUCAAUAAAAUGUUGCUUUUGGGAUUUCUGAAAGCAACUGUAUUUGUGCAAGGCUUGCACAAGAAAAAUUGUAUGACUUAGCAUUUGAAGAAUGAAAAAACACAAUAACAUUGUCACAACUAUUUCUGCCUUCACUCUACAUUGCCUUUCCUUUCUUUAAGAAAAUCCAUCAACAGCGAGGAGACAUAGCAAAGGUUAUCACAGACAAGUAGCUUUUAGAGAAAUUUGGGAUUUAGCAGAUGUUUUAAGUUAGUCAAAACAACCAUCUGUAAAACAAAUGCUUUGCAAAGUUUUGAAAAUACAGUCCAUGGAAUAAUGCAAUGUGAUAACUGAAUUUGAUUUAAAAAGCAAAAUAACACCUGUUUUUUGAUGAGGUAAAGCAGUAAGAGGAAACUUUUCAUAUAUUUAAACCUAUGCUGGAAGGACACGAAAAGACAAUCUGUAUACAUCACUAACAAGAGUCUUCCACCUUGUACAGAUUACAGAAUUACCCAUUAAAAAACAUAUGCAUGACCUUUGAUGGUACAUUUUUAUGCUGGCAAAUACAUUUUCAGAUACAAAGGCACUUUGAAAACCCAAUAUGGUUUGGUUCAUAAGUUUGCAAGGUACAAACAAUUUUACAAACAUAUGAUUAUACUGAAGAACGUCAACAAUCGUGACAUUACAUAUAAAAUGAUUUCUUUUUUUUUUUCUUUUCUUUUCUUUUUUUUUUUAGUAACACUAGUUUUGUGGAAAGGAAGCAGUGGCUUCCAUCAGCUUCAGCGAAGACAUUCAGAUGCCUGGAGGCCCAUAGUCCGAAUUCUUACUGGCUAGGAGGAGAACUGGGAGUGAGGGCAUUUUUGAAAUGGAAAAAGAAAAGAAAGGAAGCAAAAACUAACAUCCUGGACCAAACUAGAAACCUCAGAAAUCAAAAUGGUUUGGAGGGAACAGCACAAAAGACAAGACCAACAGUCCAGGAGGGACCCUCUUAACUCUGAUCCCUCAGCUGUGAAGUCCUGGCAGAGCACAAAAGGCUGACGCUACCUGGUGUACUUGGAGCUGGGGAUUUGUAGUGACGAUUUCCGUCUUAAAAAGCUAGGUACAGUGUUUUGGAUUGUACAGUACCAGAAAUAUUGGGUCCCCCAAAAAGGACAAUUUCUUUUCAUUCAUUACAUGGCCGCAAAGUCAAUCUGUACAUAAAGCUGUCUCACUCCAGCCUGAAAGGUAAAAAAAAAAAAAAAAAAAAAAAAUUAGAAAAUCAAACCAAUAACACACUACACAUUUCAGAAAAUUAACUUAAAAAAAAACUUUUUUUUUUUUUUAAAGGAAAGCAUUACUUUUCUCUUCUGCCUCUGGAACAAUAAUUCUCUAUUUUUCAUCAUAAAGGGCCAGCAAUGUUACUUUAGAAAUAAGCAUAGUGACAAGUUGCAAAAAACAUCCUUCAUUUGCCUCUAGGGAAGAAAGCCAUGCUACUGAUUAUAAACCAUGUCCCAGCGAAAUUUGGAACAAUUAGGUUACCCGUGUACUGUUACUCUGCCAGAGAACACCAUAGUGCUUGCUUAGUUGGCUACUAAAAUCAUAAAUCGAUCCAGGCCCCAUCUCCCUGUGACGGAUGAUUAGUAAACACGUAUGACCAUCUGUUGGUCAUUUAAAUACAUUCUACUCCUCUCUUCCAUUUUGGAUAUGAACUCACUAUUCAAAGACCGUUCUCUAAAUUGCCACCAGCUCUCCUACAUUACCAAUUUUUGUGUAUUUGCCGCCUACAAUUUUUUCUCUCUUCUCUUGAACACAUUUCAGCUGAACUUUUGCCACCCACCACUUUGCAAAGCUGUUGGUCAGGGUCGCCUCCAAGGUGCUCAGACCAGUGCUCACUUGUCAGUCCUCUUAGCACUUAGUCUAUUAGCAAGGACACAGGCGAUCUCCUCUCCUAACGAAAACGCUUUUCCCCUCUUGGCUUCCAGAGAAUACUCACUGGUAACUUUUUACUUAUUUAUCAGUCUUCCUUAAUCUCCUUUCGUGCUUCUUUCUCCUAACUUGGAGUACUGAGCACUAACUACCCAAAGGCCCAGUCCUCAGAUUCCUUCUUUUUCUGCACUGUUCCCUAGCUGAUCUCGUCUAAUAUCCAGACUUCCAGUACCAGGUAUAUGCUCAUCCUCCCACAUUUGUAUUUCCACAUUGGAACCUACCAACCGUCUACUUGACAGUUUCAGCUAGAUGUCUGACAAGUAUUACAACACAGCCAAACUGAACACUAUUGCCUCUCCUCAAAGCCUGGUGCUCUUGCAUCUUCUGCGGUUCAAUCCUACCCUUAAUGUUACAACUGAAAGACCUUUCUCUCACACUCAGCCCAUUAGGAAUACCGUUUGCCUCACUUUCAAAACACCACAGUCCCAGAAUCUGACCACUUCACAUCACCUCCAAUUGCUGCCACUUUGGCGUGAGGCACUCUCAUCUCUUGCCUGGAUUUGGUAAUGGCUUCUGAUCUAGUUCCCAUGCCUCUGCCUUUGCCUUCCUUUGGUCUACGUGCAGCAGAGCAGUGGCAGUGGUAUCACUCCAGCACUCAAAGCCUACAACUGCUCAUCUUCCUUGGUCCUUACAGUGGCCUACAAACCCCUGUGACCUGGUCCCAAUUUCCUCUCUGACUCCUCUCCCCUUGUUCCAGCUUCACUUGACCCUUCUGCCACUAACAGCGUUCCCUGAGAUAACCAUGUGACAUGCUCCCUCUCCGGUCAGACACCAGUGAGGCCUACCCUAUAUAAAAUGCAUUCGGUUCAUUUAUCCAACAAGUAUGCUCCCUACCCUUCCCUAACCCUGAUUCCCCUAUCCACAACACUAACCACCUCCUGACACAUUAUAAAAUUUAGCAUUUGCUAUGCUGCUGUGUUUACUGUUGCUCACCCAUUAUCAUGUGAUCUCUCCAAAAAAAAAGGAUUUUGUCUUUUUUUUCACUGCUGACCUCUAUACCUCAAGUAAUGCCUGGCACAGAGUAAGUAAUCAAUAAAUGUUUACUGGAUGAACAGAAAUUCUACUACAUUCCUUCUUUCGAAUAAAAAUAAUUGUUUAAAUGAAAGCAUACAAUAGUUUAAGAAUUUUCUUGUCAGUACCACAGAAUGAAAGGUAAAUUAGAAUAUUAAUGGAAAGGAAAAGAGCCAGAGUGGGGGAUAAAAAUCUAUUAACACUACCAUCUUGAGGUAAUUUCUAGCAUGGCUUUAUUUCCUAGCGUUCACGGCGGAGGGCUCUGCACGGCACUGAUGGGUGUGUGGGAGGAGCAGGAGCAGGAGCGACUCUGAUGGGAUAAAACACUGGGGAGACCUGGAAGCUUCCCAGCACAGAACACCCUUCAGCUUUCUUGCUGCAUUAAAAAAUAAUAAUAAAAUAAAUCUUUGCUGCGGUCCAGUUAAAGCUGUUAUUCAAAAUUGUUAUUUGUUAUUCAAAUUUCCGGAAAAUACAUUUAAUAGCAGCCUCUCCUUAAAGAGGCUUCUGGCAGAAAACAGGAUUUGGGGCUAACAUUUAGAACAAACCUCAAUUGUCUCAUUGUAAAAGCGUCGAUACAUACCAACCCUACUCAUCUCACAAAACUGUUACGUGUUCAUCCAGUAUUUGACAAAUGUUUAAUAAAGCCUUGUUCCAUACCA